CCUACGGGAGGCAGCAGUGGGGAAUAUUGCACAAUGGGUGCAACCCUGAUGCAGCGACGCCGCGUGAGUGACGACGUAUUUCGGUAUGUAAAGCUCUUUCAGCAGGGAAGAAAAUGCCUGUCCCUUACCAAGACGCCCCGGCUAACUACGUGCCAGCCGCCGCGGUAAUACGUAGGGGGCAAGCGUUAUCCGGCUUUACUGGGGGUAAAGGGGGCGUAGACGGCAGGGCAAGUCUGGAGUGAAAGGCGGGGGCUCAACCCCCGGACUGCCUUGGAAACUGCCAGGCUGGAGUGCAGGAGAGGUAAGUGGAAUUCAGAGUGUAGCGGUGAAAUGCGGAGAUAUUAGGAGGAACACCAGGGGCGAAGGCGGCUUACUGGACUGUAACUGACGUUGAGGCUCGAAAGCGUGGGGAGCAAACAGGAUUAGAUACCCCUGUAGUC
rnacentral:rRNA from 1 species